CGGUCGCAAUGUUCCUCAUCAUCAGUCGGGGCGGCCACGGUGCAGACAGUCGCAGUGCUCCUCGUCGUCGGUGAGAAGGGGCUCCCAUGGUCCAGACAGCUGCAAUGCUCCUCAUCGUUGGUGAGAAGGGGCGGCCACAGUGCAGUCAGUCUCAGUGCUCCUCAGCAUCGGUGAGAAGGGGCAGCCAGGGUGCAGACAGUCGCAGUGCUCCUCGUCAUCGGUGAGAAGGGGCGGCCACGGUGCAGACAGUCUCGGUGCUCCUCAUCGUCGGUGAGAAGGGGUGGCCACGGGACAGUCUCGGUGCUCCUCAGCAUCGGUGAGAAGGCGCGGCCACGGUGUAGACACUCUGAAUGCUCCUCAUUGUCAGUGAGAAGGGGCUCCCAUGGUGCAGACAGUCACAGUGCUCCUCAGCAUCGGUGAGAAGGGGCAGCCACGGGGCAGACAGUCUCAAUGUUCCUCAUCAUCGGUGAGAAGGGGCGGCCACGGUGCAGAUGGUUGCAGUGCUCCUCAGCGUUGGUGAGAAGGGGCAGCCACGGUGCAGACAGUCGCAAUGUUCCUUAUCAUCAGUCAGAAAGGGCGGCCACGGUGCAGACAGUCGCAGUGCUCCUCAUCGUCAGUGAGAAGGGGCGGCCACGGUGCAGACAGUCGCAGUGCUCCUCGUCGUCGGUGAGAGGGGGCGGCCACGGUGCAGAUGGUCGCAGUGCUCCUCGUCGUCGGUGAGAAGGGGCGGCCACAGUGCAGACAGUCUCGGUGCUCCUCAGCAUCGGUGAGAAGGCGUGGCCACGGUGUAGACACUCUGAAUGCUCCUCAUUGUCAGUGAGAAGGGGCUCCCAUGGUGCAGACAGCCGCGAUGCUCCUCAUCGUUGGUGAGAAGGGGCGGCCACGGUGCAGACGGUCGCAGUGCUC
rnacentral:lncRNA from 1 species